GUCUUUUUAGUAUAUUAAUAUAAAGUCUGACCUGCCCACUGAAUAAAGUUUGAAGGGCCGCAGUAUUUUGACUGUGCAAAGGUAGCAUAAUCAUUAGUCUUUUAAUUGAAGGCUGGUAUGAAUGGUUGGAUGAGAUACAAGCUGUGUCAUAAAAAUUAAAUUUUGAAUUUAACUUUUUAGUCAAAAGGCUAAAAUAUUCUUAAAAGACGAGAAGACCCUAUAGAGCUUUAUAUAAUAAAUAUUUAAAUUAUUAAGAUUUAUCAAAUUUAAUUUUUGUAUUAUAUUUUGUUGGGGUGACAAUAAAAUUUAUAAAACUUUUAUUUUUAUUUAACAUUAAUUUAUGGUUACAUGAUCCAGUUUUAUUGAUUAUAAAUUUAAGUUACCUUAGGGAUAACAGCGUAAUUUUUUUUGAGAGUUCUUAUCGACAAAAAAGAUUGCGACCUCGAUGUUGGAUUAAGAGUAAUUUUGGGUGUAGAAGUUCAAAGUUUAAGUCUGUUCGACUUUUAAAUUCUUACAU
rnacentral:rRNA from 1 species